rnacentral:rRNA from 1 species
GAUGAACGCUGGCGGCGUGCCUAAUACAUGCAAGUCGAGCGAAGCGGGGAUGGGUGAGUAACACGUGGAUAACCUCCUAAAAGACUGGGUAAACUUAGGGAAACCGGAGCUAAACCGGAUACUUAUAGUUGGACCCGCGCUGCAUUAGCUAGUUGGUAAGGUAACGGCUUACCAGGGCAACGCUGCAUAGCCGACCUGAGAGGGUGAUCGGCCACAUUGGAACUGCAACGCGGUCCAGACUCCUACGGUAGGCAGCAGUAGGGAAUGUUCCGCAAUGGGCGAUAGCAUAGCGGAGCAACGCCGCGUGAGUGAUGAAGGUCUUCGGAUCGUAAAGCUCUGUUAUGAGUGAAGCGGUACCUAAUCAGAAAGCCACGGCUAACUACGUGCCAGCAGCCGCGGUAAUUC